rnacentral:rRNA from 1 species
AUUGAACGCUGGCGGCAGGCUUAACACAUGCAAGUCGAGCGAGCGGCGGACGGGUGAGUAAUGUCUGGGAAACUGCCUGAUGGAGGGGGAUAACUACUGGAAACGGUAGCUAAUACCGCAUACCAUACAAUGUGCCCCGAUGGGAUUAGCUAGUAGGUGGGGUAAUGGCUCACCUAGGCGACGAGCCCUAGCUGGUCUGUGAGGAUGACCAGCCACACUGGAACUUAGACACGGUCCAGACUCCUACGGGAGGCAGCAGUGGGGAAGAUUGCACAAUGGGCGCAAGCCUGAUGCAGCCAUGCCGCGUGUGUGAAGAAGGCCUUCGGGUUGUAAAGCACUUUCAGCGAGGAGGCGUUACUCGCAGAAGAAGCACCGGCUAACGCCGUGCCAGCCGCCGCGGUAAUUC